rnacentral:snRNA from 13 species
AAACCUACCUGGCGAUGGGUUCAGGGUGAUAAGCAGGGGUCUGUCCCCAGAUGGGGGCUCAGCAUUGCACUUUACUGCGUUACAGCCUGUCACAAACUCUAAUUGGGUUCUCUCGGUUGCAUACUUUGCCAGUGGAGAGCAUUUCGCCAUCCGCC